GGGUUGGAGGCAGGCGCGCCAAC
rnacentral:miRNA from 10 species